rnacentral:misc_RNA from 1 species
GCAGUAAUCAUAGACCAUGAAAGAAAUGUAACAUUCUAACUGAUCGAAGAACAAGAAUAAAAAAUCUAUGAAUCAAUCAAUGUCAAAAUUGUUUUGAGCUGUUCUGUUCAUGUAAGAUUCGAGGGUGGACAAAAAAACUACUAAUACUCCAAAAAUAAAUAGAAAAAGAAAAUCUGUCCUAUUACAACAUGGUAAGGUCUUCAUGGGUGUUUCUUAGAAAGAGAACUUGAAAGCACCAGCAUGGGAAUCUGUUACCGAGUCCCAGAAGGAAAGUUUUUUCUGCUGUGCUUUUUUCUCCUCUGCUUUCUGCACCAGUUGAUUGAUGGUUCCAGGAAAAGCUGCUUCCAUAGCAUUCCUAAACUUAUCAUGCAAAUUCACACGGUCUUGUGUUCCAGAUACCAGCUCACUUGCAUUUGGCCUCUUAAGAAACUCCAAAACAUUCAACAAAUUUCUCCUGCAGCACAGAAUGCAAAUUAUACUUGGAUCUUCUUAUUCUUCUGCCCUAAAACAGGAUAAAAUCAUAUGCACAAGCAACACAUAACAAAAAUAUAAUUGUAGUUUGAAAUUACUGUGAGUCCACAAGAACAAUCUACCUUGCAGUCCUUAUUAUAGCUUUGAUCAAAAUAACAUGAGGGCAUGUCAUAUUUUGGCAUUAAGCCGUAUAGACAAUGUCAUUAUCUAUUACUAAUUUGCUGCAGAUGUUAACCAAGGAUAGCUAAGACCUCUAGAUACUUUCAAAAUUGUGUUAUACAUUGACUGUAAUAUUCUGACCAGACAGGACCUUUUUAAGAACUAAACAAUAUACCUGAAGUACUAAACAACUUCCUUGAAGAUGGAAAUGGAAUACAAAUGAUAUAUAGUUCCCUCAAAUAAUGCAUGGUACACCAACUUAAAGCUGUCCUGCCAUUUUUAUUCCAAUUCCUAUUUAAAAGAAGUGAUGAAAAAUUGACACAAGGCCUAGACAAUCUUGGUCAAAGAGAAGUUCAACACAAAGCAAGAACUAAGAGUCUAUGAUGGCUAGAAAAAAACUUUCCAUGCAUUAAAUAUAUAAAGAUGUGCCUAUAUACCUGGACAGCUGGAUUGAUUCUGGGUCCCAACCCUUAAGAUUUCAGUUAGCAAGCAAGAUAUAUGCAUACAAUACCUGAGCAAUCUAACCAAGCCCCACGAGUAUACAUCAGAUGGAUCUUUCACAUUCUACAUUUCUAUUAAAACACUAAAAAAGCAGUAUGUUGGAUGCAAACGUAAAGUAAUACGACUUCAAAUUGACCACCAAAUGCAAUUAGGCACAGGUAAGCUCCCUGCAUCAUCCAUAUCUUUUGGAAGUUCUUGUAUCAUUUUGACACUUUCAUGAGCAGACAAAAAGACAAUAACUCCUAACAGCCUUUGGGUGCAGAUUGCAUUGGUUAUAAUGCUCCCUACUUCAAUAAUACAUACAUCUCACUGUUAGUGCACUCUACUUUAAUUACCUACUGGGAUUGUGGAUUACUGCUUUCCAAUCUUUUGACGAGUUUAUUCUUUACCUCUUAUGUUACAUCUAAAUGUAUGCAGAGUGAUGGAAGUUUCUAUCUUGAGAAAAAGAGACCAAUCUGAAAAAUACUGCUCACAGAAUGUUAGCAAUUGCUGCAAUUCUAAAUGGCAAUAAGCUAAAACAACCUUGUUUUCUUAACAUUUGAUUCAUAACAGGCUAACACAACCUUGAUUUUUUAAACUAAAAAAAAAAAAGCUUAUCCUAUGCAUUGAUACUCGUCACUUCAUACAAUGUCCUUAGCACAGUUGAACACUGAAUGACUUGAGCAGACAGUUAGAGAUAAUGAUUGGAUUUAAUUUCAUGAAUUGUCGCCCUAGUUAUUAACUUAAGAAAGUUUAGGAGAGAACAAUCUUAAAUGGGAUACUGGGAUCUUCACAAGACAUAAGAACAAUAUUCUCAACUAGUGAUUAGGGAAAUGUGCUUGCACUGCUCUGAUGAAAUUCCUAAAGAGCACUUGCAAGAGCUAUCAACAUUACAUAACAAAUGAGAAUACACACCUGCUGACAUAAUUCUGUGUAAUGGCAACAGAUUCUUCCAAGUUGAUCACCAAAUGCCACCAUCCAUUGGGCACAAAAAUCACCUCCCCAGCCUUACAGAGGCACUCAAUGGGUCUUUUCUUCCAAUUUUUUGUUGCAUCAUAAAAGUUCAUGAACCACUCAAUUAUUGAAACAGGACAUGCCACCUCUGCACCAUCUGGGCUUGGAUGCACCCCUGGUGGUAUCACGUCAGGUGGGAACAAAAUCCAUUUCUUAGACCCUUUUAUCACCGCAUUCCAAGCUGAUGUUGAAUUGGGAUCAAUGUGGAAUGAUGAACCAGAUCCUGCGGGGCCAAUUAUGAUCCACCUAUAAUCAGGUCUCUCAUUGUCUAAAACACUAAACAAAUCCUCUCUGAAGUAGAUUGGAACUUCAAAAUCUGAACCCAAAAUGGGAAUCUUUUCCGCAAACUUUGGGUCAAAAAGAUACAAGGGCCUCUCUUCUCUCACUUGAUCUGCAUAUCUAAAAUACUCCUCAAGCCUCAUCUCUACUGGCCCAACUGCAAAUUUGACAUCGCCACAUACCUUGAGUAAAUAAUUCCUAUCCCAUUUUUGCAAUGCAGCCCAAUUAUCCAUACACCCUUCCAACAACACUGGUUUAUUUGGUUCCUCAAAAUUCAACACAAAUUCCUCAACAGAAAUACCUUUCUUUCUAACAAUAUUAUCUCUCUCAAGCCAUUUAGGUUUCAUAUCAAGAUUAGCACAUAACCAAUUUUGGAAAAGAUAAUCAGAGUAAAAGUCUCUAACUUUUACAUUCGAUGCGCCCGUGCAAGCGAUAUCAAAUGAAGGAUAAAAAGAAGCAACAUAAGUAGAUUUCCAUGACCCAUUAAACAAAAACCCACCAUUUAGAUUAUCCAAUACAAGAUUUCUCCACAGCGGCUCAUGGUUAGCAAAAACACAGAAAGAUUUACUCACAGCAGCCAAAACUCCCAAGUGGGUCCCAUCAAGAAGCCCCAGAAUGUCAAGAAUUAGUUCAUCAGAUAGGGUUUGGAGAUUACCUAAACCUGUGUUUCUGGAGUUGAUAGAACCAGGAUUGAGGUAGAGAUUGCCCAAUGGUUGGACCUCAUAAGUGUGAGAUAGAGCUAAGGCUUUGAGGCUAAACCCUUCUGCCUCUUCUUCACUAUCUUCUAUUUCUUGGUAUUCGUGGAGAUGUUGGUGUUUGGGAAUGGAUUCUCGUUUUCUUCUAGAACUAGUUUUGUUUCUUGCUUUGGUUUUGGCCUUUAGAUUCUUCUUCCUUAUGGCUUUAGACAAAAAGUUUCUGCAGCGUAACAUAGUAGCCUUCCUCCUUCAACUUCAAAGAGGAUCCGCUGAUGGAGGUAGCUGCCUGUGAGCCUAUAACCUGUGACUCUGACAGCUGAGAAGGGUUUAGCAAAAGCGACCAACCAGGGAACCAGUGACCUAAGGCGUUUCGAGGAGAUGUUAAU